UAGUUUUGGUGGUUAUGUAACCCAGUGAGUUUACACGACUCAGUAAUGCACUACAACAUGUUAUUGUUAAUUGGGAUUUAUCAUUACUCUGUUAAUCACUGAGUUGAUCAAAAAUAAAUCAAUAAUAAAAGAUAAAUACUAUAAAUAUAAGAAUAAAACCCAAAGAGUAUAUUUAACACCCCUACUGGUUAGGAAGGAACAAGCCCCGCCUUCCCCUGCUCUGUACCGUCACGUGCUCAGACACAGAGAGAGACGGAGGUGCACGAGACCAUCACUGAUUUUCACCGCCAAGCUUUUCGCUGGAAAAUAACUAUUAACUUGAUAAAUUGAGCAAAUAUCCAUACCGGAGAUCUGCAUGGACCUUGGAGAAACGGACCUGAUUUAUUGUGAACAUUUCGGACCUUGAAACCAUCGCGAUCUGCGCGGGAGCGGAUGAAGUGGACAAGAUCCUCUCUGAGAGUUGAACAAGAUCCUCUCUGAGAGUUGAACAUUAGAAGUGUGCUGGUGAGUUAAACUGGGACUGGGCGAAUCAGGCUAAUUGAAAAGCUAACUAGCCUAAUGCUCAUAGCUGUAGCUGACCACGUUUUCACUGUGGGAGAACACACGGGGUUUCUCACUGAGUUCAGCCAUUUUGAGCACUCAGCUUGUGUGCUGAUGAUGUUCUAGUAUUACUUGUUGAAUAUUAAAUGCACUAAAAUUAGAUGAUGGAAUAAGUUAAUGUUGAUCUUAAAGGUCAUGAAUCUACUUUAUUUUGUUACAUUUGAUGCUCGAGCGGCACUGGAUAGAUGUCCGUGUGUAUUCUUACUGUGCUGAUACGUUACCACAUACUGUAAAACUACAGCCUGUGGGUUUUUGUAUAUUCUUUUGGUAAUUUUAUUCUGUACAUUGAGUGUAAAUAAUAUAUUGCUUCAUUGCUAUGCAGUGUAAAGCAAUGCUCCUGUAAUUCAGUUAAAGGGCAAUACUGUAAAAAAAUAAUCUACCAUAGUUUAUGGUUUAUUUCUGAUUUCUGAUAGAAAUGUGCACCUUGACGAUAGAAUAAGCUGAUUGUGAUUUAAAGAUUGCAUUCAUGAUUAAGAUGCACUGUAUAGACUAUAGUUAGAAAUUAGAAUUAAUGUUUUGUGCUUGUUUUGUUAUAGCACUUACAUUAUUUACAUAUGGCCAUGUAUAUCAUUAGAGUGUGAACUGAAUUAGUAAUAGUCCUGUUGUUUACAGGCUAGGUUUUUUUAUGGGAUCGUGAGACCUGGAUCUCUUCCUGACGAGGAAGAUGGCGAGCCUUUCCCUUUGAACCGAACCGAACCACAGCCAUUCUGAGUUGGCCCAGAAGGGCAGGUUGCUCUUCUCUCACGAACAAUUGCAACAGUGCGGUAGGACGAAAUCGCACCAAUCACAAACUUUUGACCUGUUGGAUUUGACUUGACUGAACACUGACUAUUAAGCCGGCAAGACUGACAUAUCUGAGCUCAGAUAGGAUUCUGACUGUUAUUAUUAUUGCUGUCACUGUAUUUUAUUUUAUGUUUUCAUUCCUGUUCAUAAAAUGCUGUUAAAUUGUUGCUAAAUAGUUUAAUACAAUUCAUAGCAACUUUACCUGUGGCUCCAGUCAUUCUUCUCCACGCAACUCCCUUUAUCCCUCCUGCGAAUCUAGCUAUUGGCCCAUUCUCUCCAUCUUACUUUAAUUUCCCCUACCCUAUCCUGUACUUGGUUACAGAAAGUGGCGAGCCAGCCAGGAGGGUUUGCAGAGUUGUUAGUCCACCCAAAAUUUAAUAAAACGAUUAAGAGUGCCUGGAGCUUCACAGUGACUUGUAUUUUUUUCUACUGGUACUUUUACGUGUCCUAACCAUGGAAGUUGUGAAAACAGAGAAUGUUAAAGUUCAAAA